rnacentral:rRNA from 1 species
GGUUAAGCGACUAAGCGUACACGGUGGAUGCCCUGGCAGUCAGAGGCGAUGAAGGACGUGCUAAUCUGCGAUAAGCGUCGGUAAGGUGAUAUGAACCGUUAUAACCGGCGAUUUCCGAAUGGGGAAACCCAGUGUGUUUCGACACACUAUCAUUAACUGAAUCCAUAGGUUAAUGAGGCGAACCGGGGGAACUGAAACAUCUAAGUACCCCGAGGAAAAGAAAUCAACCGAGAUUCCCCCAGUAGCGGCGAGCGAACGGGGAGCAGCCCAGAGCCUGAAUCAGUGUGUGUGUUAGUGGAAGCGUCUGGAAAGGCGCGCGAUACAGGGUGACAGCCCCGUACACAAAAAUGCACAUAUUGUGAGCUCGAUGAGUAGGGCGGGACACGUGGUAUCCUGUCUGAAUAUGGGGGGACCAUCCUCCAAGGCUAAAUACUCCUGACUGACCGAUAGUGAACCAGUACCGUGAGGGAAAGGCGAAAAGAACCCCGGCGAGGGGAGUGAAAAAGAACCUGAAACCGUGUACGUACAAGCAGUGGGAGCACGCUUAGGCGUGUGACUGCGUACCUUUUGUAUAAUGGGUCAGCGACUUAUAUUCUGUAGCAAGGUUAACCGAAUAGGGGAGCCGAAGGGAAACCGAGUCUUAACUGGGCGUUAAGUUGCAGGGUAUAGACCCGAAACCCGGUGAUCUAGCCAUGGGCAGGUUGAAGGUUGGGUAACACUAACUGGAGGACCGAACCGACUAAUGUUGAAAAAUUAGCGGAUGACUUGUGGCUGGGGGUGAAAGGCCAAUCAAACCGGGAGAUAGCUGGUUCUCCCCGAAAGCUAUUUAGGUAGCGCCUCGUGAAUUCAUCUCCGGGGGUAGAGCACUGUUUCGGCAAGGGGGUCAUCCCGACUUACCAACCCGAUGCAAACUGCGAAUACCGGAGAAUGUUAUCACGGGAGACACACGGCGGGUGCUAACGUCCGUCGUGAAGAGGGAAACAACCCAGACCGCCAGCUAAGGUCCCAAAGUCAUGGUUAAGUGGGAAACGAUGUGGGAAGGCCCAGACAGCCAGGAUGUUGGCUUAGAAGCAGCCAUCAUUUAAAGAAAGCGUAAUAGCUCACUGGUCGAGUCGGCCUGCGCGGAAGAUGUAACGGGGCUAAACCAUGCACCGAAGCUGCGGCAGCGACGCUGAUGCGUUGUUGGGUAGGGGAGCGUUCUGUAAGCCUGUGAAGGUGUGCUGUGAGGCAUGCUGGAGGUAUCAGAAGUGCGAAUGCUGACAUAAGUAACGAUAAAGCGGGUGAAAAGCCCGCUCGCCGGAAGACCAAGGGUUCCUGUCCAACGUUAAUCGGGGCAGGGUGAGUCGACCCCUAAGGCGAGGCCGAAAGGCGUAGUCGAUGGGAAACAGGUUAAUAUUCCUGUACUUGGUGUUACUGCGAAGGGGGGACGGAGAAGGCUAUGUUGGCCGGGCGACGGUUGUCCCGGUUUAAGCGUGUAGGCUGGUUUUCCAGGCAAAUCCGGAAAAUCAAGGCUGAGGCGUGAUGACGAGGCACUACGGUGCUGAAGCAACAAAUGCCCUGCUUCCAGGAAAAGCCUCUAAGCAUCAGGUAACAUCAAAUCGUACCCCAAACCGACACAGGUGGUCAGGUAGAGAAUACCAAGGCGCUUGAGAGAACUCGGGUGAAGGAACUAGGCAAAAUGGUGCCGUAACUUCGGGAGAAGGCACGCUGAUAUGUAGGUGAAGCGACUUGCUCGUGGAGCUGAAAUCAGUCGAAGAUACCAGCUGGCUGCAACUGUUUAUUAAAAACACAGCACUGUGCAAACACGAAAGUGGACGUAUACGGUGUGACGCCUGCCCGGUGCCGGAAGGUUAAUUGAUGGGGUCAGCGCAAGCGAAGCUCUUGAUCGAAGCCCCGGUAAACGGCGGCCGUAACUAUAACGGUCCUAAGGUAGCGAAAUUCCUUGUCGGGUAAGUUCCGACCUGCACGAAUGGCGUAAUGAUGGCCAGGCUGUCUCCACCCGAGACUCAGUGAAAUUGAACUCGCUGUGAAGAUGCAGUGUACCCGCGGCAAGACGGAAAGACCCCGUGAACCUUUACUAUAGCUUGACACUGAACAUUGAGCCUUGAUGUGUAGGAUAGGUGGGAGGCUUAGAAGUGUGGACGCCAGUCUGCAUGGAGCCGACCUUGAAAUACCACCCUUUAAUGUUUGAUGUUCUAACGUUGACCCGUAAUCCGGGUUGCGGACAGUGUCUGGUGGGUAGUUUGACUGGGGCGGUCUCCUCCUAAAGAGUAACGGAGGAGCACGAAGGUUGGCUAAUCCUGGUCGGACAUCAGGAGGUUAGUGCAAUGGCAUAAGCCAGCUUGACUGCGAGCGUGACGGCGCGAGCAGGUGCGAAAGCAGGUCAUAGUGAUCCGGUGGUUCUGAAUGGAAGGGCCAUCGCUCAACGGAUAAAAGGUACUCCGGGGAUAACAGGCUGAUACCGCCCAAGAGUUCAUAUCGACGGCGGUGUUUGGCACCUCGAUGUCGGCUCAUCACAUCCUGGGGCUGAAGUAGGUCCCAAGGGUAUGGCUGUUCGCCAUUUAAAGUGGUACGCGAGCUGGGUUUAGAACGUCGUGAGACAGUUCGGUCCCUAUCUGCCGUGGGCGCUGGAGAACUGAGGGGGGCUGCUCCUAGUACGAGAGGACCGGAGUGGACGCAUCACUGGUGUUCGGGUUGUCAUGCCAAUGGCACUGCCCGGUAGCUAAAUGCGGAAGAGAUAAGUGCUGAAAGCAUCUAAGCACGAAACUUGCCCCGAGAUGAGUUCUCCCUGACCCUUUAAGGGUCCUGAAGGAACGUUGAAGACGACGACGUUGAUAGGCCGGGUGUGUAAGCGCAGCGAUGCGUUGAGCUAACCGGUACUAAUGAACCGUGAGGCUUAACCUU